rnacentral:lncRNA from 1 species
UUCAAAGUCCCUCAACAAUUUCUAUAUAGUUAUAAAUCCAACGGCCAGAUUCUUUCUUAAACUGCACAUAGAUAGUGAGGAGGCCCCUCCCCUUUCUGUCUGAAGAGAUGAUUUUCAUGGUGACUGCAACUUUAUUCUUGUCAAAACACUUGUAUGUAACGGGACAGCUGCCCUGUAUAAUGCGAGACAAAGCAAAUCAUCACUUUCUAAACAUACAAGUCAUGCUUUCUUAGUCACUGGAUCCCACUGCAGAUGGAAGGUUGAGAAACGUGGAAAAGAAAAACACGAACCGAGAUACGAAGGGUGAUACCGAGCUCCCGCGAUGAGAAGCAGCUUGCAAGGCUUCCAGGGCACAGCACCUGCCGCAGGGACCCAGGCUGCAACAAAAAGAACAACGUCAACUCCAUCUGACACGUCUCCAUUCAUCAUUCCAAACGACACACCCAGCAGCAGAAAGAAAUACCUAAGUCUAGUUCGAAAAUAUUUGAACAGUAAGAACCUGUGCAACAGAUUCGCCAUAGGAUAGGAGGACUUGACCUGGAUCCCAAAUGGCAGUGGAGGGAAUGGCGUGCAAGG